rnacentral:rRNA from 1 species
ACCUACGGGGGGCAGCAGUGAGGAAUAUUGGUCAAUGGGCGGAAGCCUGAACCAGCCACUUCUCUUUCUUUCAGAAGGCCCUGCGGGUCGCAGACCUCUUUGGACGGGGAGCAAGGCCGCCGACGUGUCGGCGGAAGGAGAGUACCCGUAGAACAAGCAUCGGCUAACUCCGUGCCAGCAGCCGCGGUAAUACGGAGGAUGCGAGCGUUAUCCGGAUUUAUUGGGUUUAAAGGGUGCGCAGGCGGCACGGCAAGCCGGCGGUCAAAUCGCGGGGCUCAACCCCGCCCAGCCGUCGGAACUGCCGG